rnacentral:rRNA from 1 species
AUUGAACGCUGGCUGCAGGCCUAACACAUGCAAGUCGAACGAGUGGCGGACGGGUGAGUAAUGUCUGGGAAACUGCCUGAUGUAGGGGGAUAACUACUGGAAAAGGUAGCUAAUACCGCAUACCAUCGGAUGUGCACAGAUUGGAUUAGCAAGUAGGUGGGGUAAAGGCUCACCUAGGCGACGAUCCCUAGCUGGUCUGAGAGGAUGACCAGCCACACUGGAACUGAGACACGGUCAAGACUCCGACGGGAGGCAGCAGUGGGGAAUAUUGCACCAUGGGCGCAAGCCUGAUUCAGCCAUGCCGCGUGUAUGAAGAAGGCCUUCGGGUUGUAAAGUACUUUCAGCGGGGAGGCGUUACCCGCAGAAGAAGCACCGGCUAACUCCGUGCCAGCAGCCGCGGUAAUAC